CCUCCGGGCUGCCGCAGUGAGUAAUAUUGGUCAAUGGGCGGGAGCCUGAACCAGCCAAGUCGCGUGAGGGAAGACGGUCCUACGGAUUGUAAACCUCUUUUGCCGGGGAGCAACGGGGUCCUCGCGAGGUCCCAAUGAGAGUACCUGGAGAAAAAGCAUCGGCUAACCCCGUGCCAGCAGCCGCGGUAAUACGGAGGAUCCGAGCGUUAUCCGGAUUUAUUGGUUUUAAAGGGAGCGUAGAUGGGUUGUUAAGUCAGUUGUGAAAGUUUGCGGCUCAACCGUAAAAUUGCAAUUGAUACUGGCAGUCUUGAGUACAGUUGAGGUAGGCGGAAUUCGUGGUGUAGCGGUGAAAUGCUUAGAUAUCACGAAGAACCCCGAUUGCGAAGGCAGCUUACUAAACUGUGACUGACAUUGAUGCUCGAAAGUGUGGGUAUCAAACAGGAUUAGAUACCCGUGUAGUC
rnacentral:rRNA from 1 species